GGCGACUGCGGCUGCGACUACAUGUGUGUCUACCUGGAUGAGAACCUCAGGGAAAAGCAGUGCAUCUGUGCUGAGAACUGGGUCUUGAACACAGACAAUUACACCUGCAUCUCGAGACAGGCAGCCUCCUGUGGCACACGGCGUAUCCCAUCAUCAUCGGUCUCUUCAUUAUCGUCAUCAUCAUUAUCUCCACGACGUCGAUCUGCUGCUACAACCAUACCCAGCGCAAGAAAUUCGACCUGAUGCGACGCGAGUUCUCCCGAGGACCCGACGACCAGCUGCACACGAUCCGAGCCGAGUCGCGCCGGAUGGUCACCGAGUACAACCCCAAUUACGAGUUUGGAGGUGGAACUUGUACCAUCAAGGACCUGAAGGGGAUCCCCCGGGAGAACCUCACCCUCGUCAAGUUAGUACCUUCCCUUGAUGACUGUCAGCCUCUGAUGCGGUCUAGUCGUCAGUGUGUACCCAAUUCCUGCUGAUUUUUUUUUUUUUUUUAUUGUUUUCCCCCCUCUAAAAAUGGGGUUGUCAGGUUGUCGUUAUGUUUCAUUAAGUGUCAGACGCGAGUGAUGGGGGUUUUAUGGUCUAUCGUUGUUGGUUCCUCGGUGUCUGUCAAUCUAUUCCUGAGUGUCAGGCCUCCGCUUAGUCUGAGGACGAAUAUCUUCACAACACAAGAUGUAUUCAUUCUUCCUCAUCUCUUCACAACAGUUGCAAUAAACACAAUGCA